GAUGAACGCUGGCGGCGUGCCUAAUACAUGCCAGUCGAGCGAACAGAUAAGGAGCUUGCUCCUUUGACGUUAGCGGCGGACGGGUGAGUAACACGUGGGUAACCUACCUAUAAGACUGGAAUAACUCCGGGAAACCGGGGCUAAUACCGGAUAACAUUUAGAACCGCAUGGUUCUAAAGUGAAAGAUGGUUUUGCUAUCACUUAUAGAUGGAUCCGCGCCGUAUUAGCUAGUUGGUAAGGUAACGGCUUACCAAGGCAACGAUACGUAGCCGACCUGAGAGGGUGAUCGGCCACACUGGAACUGAGACACGGUCCAGACUCCUACGGGAGGCAGCAGUAGGGAAUCUUCCGCAAUGGGCGAAAGCCUGACGGAGCAACGCCGCGUGAGUGAUGAAGGUCUUCGGAUCGUAAAACUCUGUUAUUAGGGAAGAACAAAUGUGUAAGUAACUGUGCACGUCUUGACGGUACCUAAUCAGAAAGCCACGGCUAACUACGUG
rnacentral:rRNA from 1 species